rnacentral:snoRNA from 1 species
AUCAGUCAUUUUUCGUAUUGAUUAAUAAGCCGGAAGUAAUCAUUUG